rnacentral:lncRNA from 1 species
AAGGGACGUUCCAUAUUCCACACCAUUUAAUUAAUUGCUCAGCAUUAAAAGCUUGGUAAAAGGAGGAGGAAGGGCAGUUGUUUGUGGUUAUGGUGGUCUUCCCAAGCAGCUGUGUGCAUGUUGAGGUGUAGCUUCCCACAAAGGUAGCUAGAGAUCUGCCUGUUGAUGAGAACCAGGGAAUGAACUCCCAUUUUUCUUUACUUGCAUGUGCAGCUUUCCUUUCCCUUUCCCAGUAUCCUUAUCUCAGUGCACAAGUCUAGCCUUUCUUUUAUUUUGUCAAAGGACUGGGAGGGAGUCAGGGUGGGUGUUUGGCUGUUGAUUGGGGUCAGUCUGUCACAAAGGCAUGUCUUAUCCAUGAACAUGUUCAGGAUAUAGUUACAGACAUGGGCUGACAUGAUGGUGAUUGUAAUGCAGGUGGAAGCCUCUAAAUUUGAGAUCUCAGAAUACCAAGGUAAAUACUGAACUGACCGUGUGAACUUCUUGUUAAAAAAUCUAAUUCAGUUUUAAAAAGCUUUAAAACUACUUAUUUCUUUCAUUGACUUGCUGGGGAAUUGGAUUAUUAGAAGUAAUACCUGUGUUUUUCCCAGCUGUCUGCUCUGUUUAAUUCAAAGGGAAGGUAAUAGAAAUGAUCAUAACCCAAAUGUGUUGCAACAUGACAGUCACUGAUGUUGUAAAAGCCUUAUUGUAAUCCACUUAUUCUAAGUGGAUUUGCAAGCUGUUGUGGCUUGGAGUUGCUCCUUUUGGUACAACUUCAAACCUACCAAGUGAAGUAAGCAAGCCCUGAUGUUGUAAGAACCAGACAAGUCAAACCUGCCCUGACCUCUGCUUUCAACCUUUCACACAAGUCAGACAGACUGGGUGAUGAAGAACAUCAGAGUGCCUCAUCAGCCAAGCACAGUGCAGAUGGGAGCUCUACAAGGAUCUCAGGUCAGCAUACAAGGAAACAGCACCUGAAUCAGGAUUUAUUUUCUCAUUGUAGUGCCACUGUUAUAGUCAGAGACAACAGAAGUUGAUUCCUUGGCAGAUCAUCCAGCAGAGGAAGAAUUUAAAGAUCUGUGUCCCUGGGGAAGCCAGCAUAAGCCUGAAUGAAACUCCUGUGUGUGGCAGUAAAUUCAGGGUUUGAGUCCUUACAGCCAGUGACAAGAUCCCAAGAAGGUAAGCAGU